rnacentral:tRNA from 1 species
GGGAGGGAGGUUGAAGGCUUGCUGGAAGAACCUCUGCCUUGAAUGCAGAAGAUCCCAGGUUCAAGCCUUGGCUCCUCUA